rnacentral:rRNA from 1 species
CGCAACUGACGCUCAUGCUCGAAAGUGCGGGUAUCGAACAGGAUUAGAUACCCUGGUAGUCCGCACGGUAAACGAUGGAUGCCCGCUAUUUGUCCAUUAGGAUAAGUGGCCAAGUGAAAACGUUAAGCAUCCCACCUGGGGAGUACGCCGGCAACGGUGAAACUCAAAGGAAUUGACGGGGGCCCGCACAAGCGGAGGAACAUGUGGUUUAAUUCGAUGAUACGCGAGGAACCUUACCCGGGCUUGAAUUGCUGAGGAAAGAUCCAGAGAUGGUGAUGCCCUUCGGGGCCUCAGUGAAGGUGCUGCAUGGUUGUCGUCAGCUCGUGCCGUGAGGUGUCGGCUUAAGUGCCAUAACGAGCGCAACCCCUCUCUUCAGUUGCCAUCAGGUUAAGCUGGGCACUCUGGAGACACUGCCACCGUAAGGUGUGAGGAAGGUGGGGAUGACGUCAAAUCAGCACGGCCCUUACGUCCGGGGCUACACACGUGUUACAAUGGGUGGUACAGAGAGUUGGGUGCCCGCAAGGUCACUCUAAUCAAUAAAUCCAUCCUCAGUUCGGACUGGGGUCUGCAACCCGACCCCACGAAGCUGGAUUCGCUAGUA